rnacentral:rRNA from 1 species
GACGAACGCUGGCGGCGUGCCUAAUACAUGCAAGUCGAGCGAAGUUUUUCUGGUGCUUGCACUAGAAAAACUUAGCGGCGAAAGGGUGAGUAACAGGUAAAGAACCUGCAUCAGAGACUGGGAGAACUAUUGGAAACGAUAGCUAAUACCGGAUAACAGUAUUUCUCGCAUGAGAGAUAUUUAAAAGUUGGUUAUGCGAAAACUAUGAGAUGGAUUUGCGGUGCAUUAGGUAGUUGGUGGGGUAAAGGCCCACCAAGGCGACGAUGCAUAGCCGACCUGAGAGGGUGAUCGGCCACACUGGGACUGAGACACGGCCCAUACUCCUACGGGAGGCAGCAGUAGGGAAUCUUCCGCAAUGGGCGAAAGCCUGACGGAGCAACGCCGCGUGAGUGAAGAAGGAUUUCGGUUCGUAAAGCUCUGUUGUUAGGGAAGAAUGGAUAUGUAGUAACUAUACAUGUAAGAGACGGUACCUAACCAGAAAGCCACGGCUAACUACGUG